UGCACACACCGCCCGUCGCUACUACCGAUUGAAUGGCUCAGUGAGGCCUUCGGACUGGCUCAGGAGGGUUGGCAACGACCCCCCAGAGCCGGAAAGUUGGUCAAACUCGGUCAUUUAGAGGAAGUAAAAGUCGUAACAAGGUUUCCGUAGGUGAACCUGCGGAAGGAUCAUUACCGAGUGAGGGCCCUCUGGGUCCAACCUCCCACCCGUGUUUAUCGUACCUUGUUGCUUCGGCGGGCCCGCCUCACGGCCGCCGGGGGGCAUCCGCCCCCGGGCCCGCGCCCGCCGAAGACACACAAACGAACUCUUGUCUGAAGAUUGCAGUCUGAGUACUUGACUAAAUCAGUUAAAACUUUCAACAACGGAUCUCUUGGUUCCGGCAUCGAUGAAGAACGCAGCGAAAUGCGAUAAGUAAUGUGAAUUGCAGAAUUCAGUGAGUCAUCGAGUCUUUGAACGCACAUUGCGCCCCCUGGUAUUCCGGGGGGCAUGCCUGUCCGAGCGUCAUUGCUGCCCUCAAGCACGGCUUGUGUGUUGGGCUCUCGCCCCCCGCUUCCGGGGGGCGGGCCCGAAAGGCAGCGGCGGCACCGCGUCCGGUCCUCGAGCGUAUGGGGCUUCGUCACCCGCUCUGUAGGCCCGGCCGGCGCCCGCCGGCGAACACCAUCAAUCUUAACCAGGUUGACCUCGGAUCAGGUAGGGAUACCCGCUGAACUUAAGCAUAU
rnacentral:rRNA from 1 species